UAAUUGGGAAGAGGAGAGGACACACCAAAUAAAACAGACUCCAGGCAAAACUUUGAGCCUUAUGGGAAGAUCAAUCUGGGCCUACCUUACUCUUUGCUAACACCCGCCUCAGCUUCGAUGGAUACUUUUCCCUUUACGAUAGGAGAAGCCAUCUGUUUGGGGUCAAGCUUGGCCUUCUCAAGCCUCUUUUAUUACCUGCACAGGAAGAAGGCCAAGGUGGUGUCCAAAAUCCAGGGGGCUCCAAAGCUCCAGGUCGGUUCAAAUCUUCCCAGCAUUCUGUCUGCCGCAGGUAGCGACUGCCUCCCCUAUGUUGUCAUUGAAGGUAAGAAAUUCAGCAAACAGGAUCACCAAGAUUUGAACAGGGAAAAUUCAUCAUGCCAAUUUCCCAGUCCCUUCCUUUUCCAUUUAUCAUUGUGAAUCUGGCACCAGUUAUCCUUCCUAAAUGCCCGCCAAGGAAUGAACAAGAAUCUGCAAUGGGAAAAUACCAUUCAUUGUUAAAA